rnacentral:rRNA from 1 species
UACGUAGGUGGCAAGCGUUGUCCGGAAUUAUUGGGCGUAAAGCGCGCGCAGGUGGUUUCUUAAGUCUGAUGUGAAAGCCCACGGCUCAACCGUGGAGGGUCAUUGGAAACUGGGGAACUUGAGUGCAGGAGAGAAGAGUGGAAUUCCACGUGUAGCGGUGAAAUGCGUAGAGAUGUGGAGGAACACCAAUAGCGAAGGCAGCUCGCUGGGACGGUAUUGACGCUGAGGCGCGAAAGCGUGGGGAGCAAACAGG